rnacentral:rRNA from 1 species
GUCAAGUCAUCAUGGCCCUUACGCCCAGGGCGACACACGUGCUACAAUGGCCGGUACAGAGGGCUGCGAACCCGUGAGGGGGAGCGAAUCCCAGAAAGCCGGUCUAAGUUCGGAUUGCAGUCUGCAACUCGACUGCAUGAAGCCGGAGUUGCUAGUAACCGUGGGUCAGCCACACUACGGUGAAUACGUUCCCGGGCCUU